CGCCCCGGGCCGGAAAGUGACUCCGAGACCACAACGCGUUGUUGACGAGCGAAGUCUAGGUUGGGUGAAGAACCCGAGAGGGCCUCUCCGAUUCCGGCUCUCAGCCCCAGGGCCCUGGGGUGCGGGAGAGGCUCCCCCAACCCCGCGGGCAUCUAGAGGAGCGGGCGGAACUCGCGGCUUUGGCGGACUCCAGGUAGAAGCCAUGUCUGUUUGGGGGUUUGCCUCCCCAACUCCCGACCGAUUUGCGGUGUCUGCAGAGGCAGAGGACAAGGUUCGGGAGCAGCAGGCUCGCUUGGAGCGUAUCUUCAGCGUGGGAAUGAGCGUCCUCUCCAAAGACUGCCCAGAGAACCCUCAUAUCUGGCUGCAGCUUGAGGGCCCCAAGGAGAACAUCUGCAGAGCCAAGGAAUACCUGAAGGGGCUCUGCAGCCCAGAACUACAGAGUGAAAUCCACUACCCACCCAGACUGCAGUGCGUCUUUCUGGGAGCCCAAGGCUUCUUCCUUGACUGCCUGGCCUGGAGCACAUCUGCCCACCUGGUGCCUCUGGUUCCUGGUUCUCUGAUGAUCAGUGGCCUAACUGAGGCGUUUGUAAUGGCCCAGAGCCGGGUGGAGGAGUUAGUGCAGAGGCUGAGCUGGGACCUUCAGCUACAGUCUUGUCCUGGAGCCCCUGACAAUGGCGGAGUGCUGAGAGACUUCUCUGCCCUGCUGCAGACUAGGGAGGAUGCCUACACAGAGGCCCUGCUGGAGCUGCCCCUGGCUGUGCAGGAGGAGCUCCUAAGCCUGGUGCAGGAGGCAUCCAGAGGGCAGGGGCCACAGACACUGCCCUUCCAUGAGGUCGGGAGCUCAGGUCUGUUGAGCUCUCAGUUUCAGGGAGUCAGGGCUCCCUUGAAUGAAGGCAGGGACUUCCUGGGCACUGGAGUGGCAGGGUGGGGAAAGUCGUGGCCAGUGAGAGGACAAAGUCAUACUGUGGAGAAGGAGGGAAGGAAACAAGAUGCAGUCAGGGACAUGGGUUCAGGGCGGAAGGAGCUGUUUGGGGAAGAGGUCUGGGAGGCAGGAGUGGCUUACAGGUCACAGCCAGCAGGUGGAGGAGCAGAGGAGGUGACACCCUUGAAAGGAAAGGCCUCGGGGAAACAGGAGGUUCCUCAGCUAAGAGGAGGGUUCAGUGUGCAGGGUGAACCUUCUGGUGCGCAUGUGCCUUGUCAGAGGGCAGCUCCAACUCGGGGAGCCUCUCUCCUCCAGCGGCUCCAUAAUGGGAACACCUCACCUCCAAGAGUGCCUAGCCCUCCACCUGCGCCGGAACCCCCAUGGCCCUGUGGAGACCGAGAUCGAGAUCGGGGAGACAGGGGAGACAAGCAGCAGGCUGGGGCUCGAGGUCGAGGGUCUCCGUGGAAACGAGGCACUCGUGGGGGCAACUUGGUGACUGGCACACAGCGUUUCCAGGAAGCCUUACAGGAUCCUUUCACCCUGUGCCUUGCCAAUGUGCCUGGCCAGCCAGAUCUCCGUCAUAUUGUCAUUGAUGGCAGCAACGUGGCCAUGGUGCACGGCCUCCAGCAUUACUUUUCAAGUCGGGGCAUUGCUCUUGCUGUGCAGUAUUUCUGGGACCGUGGCCACCGUGACAUAACUGUCUUUGUGCCUCAGUGGCGCUUCAGUAAGGAUUCCAAGGUCAGAGAGAGUCACUUCCUGCAGAAGCUGUACUCCCUGAGUCUACUUUCCCUGACACCCUCACGAGUCAUGGAUGGCAAAAGGAUUUCUUCUUAUGAUGACAGGUUCAUGGUGAAGCUGGCUGAAGAGACUGACGGGAUCAUUGUCUCCAACGACCAGUUCCGGGAUCUGGCGGAGGAGUCCGACAAGUGGAUGGCGAUCAUCAGAGAGCGGUGAGAGAAUAGGGCACCGGCUCAGACCUUUCUCUAAACCAGCUCUUCUCUGGCCACUGGCCUGCUGCCCUUCACCUUUGUGGGGAACCUCUUCAUGGUCCCAGAUGACCCACUUGGGCGAAAUGGCCCCACCCUGGAUGAAUUCCUGAAGAAGCCAGUCAGGAAACAGGGCUCUUCUAAGUCUCAGCAGCCCUCCAGAGGUUCCACAGAACACAGUAAUCAGCAGCAGGGGAAGGAAGUGGAGAAGGGCAAUGGUGGCAUUCGGAAGACCCGGGAGACAGAGCGGCUCCGGCGCCAGCUGCUCGAAGUGUUUUGGGGUCAGGACCACAAGGUGGACUUCAUCCUGCAGCGGGAACCAUACUGCCGGGACAUUAACCAACUUUCUGAGGCCCUGCUGAGUCUCAACUUUUGAGCCUUUCUGUUCUGCAUAGCUGCUACCCUAUUAGAGUCAGCCUCCCCCAGCUCAGCCCCUUCUCUUAUAGUCCCUCUGCUGUUCAGACUAUGACCCAGACUCACUCUAAGAUGGUGCUUCGGCCAGAGAAAGCACCAGAGAAGAGAAUUUGAGUGUGGGAAUAUUCUUGCCUGGGGUACUUUGAGGACAGGGCCUUAAAGUGACUCAACCUGAGGGAGGACUGCAGCCAGCUCUUAGGUUUUGAUCAGACUCAACUCCUCAACUUUGUCUUUACAGAGGGCUUCUGUAGGUUGUAGAGCUUGUUCCUGGAGACUGAGACUGUGGCUUCAUUACCAAGUUCUUUGGUUGGAGGGUAGGGUAGGCUGGAGGUGACAAAAAGGCUAAGCUGAGAAAGAAAACAUCCUCUGGCUGCUCCUCUGCAUGGCUAGGAUAGGCUGAGCUGUACCCUGGCAUGUCCGGAGGAAUGCUGGCUCCCAGAGGGCUCACAGCAUGGUGUGGACUGUUGUAGUGGGACAGCUGAGAACCAGAAGGCAGAGGCAGACAGGCUUCCAGUCUCAGUUGUGCCUGUGACCUUGACAAAGCUGCUUGGCCUUUACUUAUGUCUAUACAUCAGACAUAAAAAUAACCUUGGACAGAAAUGAGAACAGAGAAGACAGCUCCUGUGAGGACCUCUGUACAUGGAUCAUGGCUCAGGUGUGCCUGCCUGUGGCUGGGUGCACAGGCUCCCUAACCAAAACUUCAGCGAUGUCCACUGUCUACUCCCUCAAUUUUAACGCUGGGUUUUCAGUAGAACAUGCCCUGUAAUGGCUGCAUCCCUUUCCAGCAACCUUUAAAACUCAUGUUAACAAAAUAGUCAAGUUAGGGUUGAUGGUUGCAUUACUUAAAUACUCUCAGGGCUCCUAUAACUGGCAGCUGCUCAGUUGCAUUUUAAGUGUUUGUUUACAGAUUGACAAGGCCCUGGUUAAAUCCUCUUUCUGGUGUUGAGCCUAUUCACCAAACCCAUGACCUCAUGAUCAGCAGUGACAGUAUUAGUGGGAUCUAAUAUUUUCUUUAUGGAAGACAGAUUUCAUUCGGCAAGACACACUGCUCCCUCGUGUGUAUGGGAAGUGGAAGCUGAAGCAUCAGGAUUGAAAGAUACAUGAUUGGUUACAGAUCAACUCCACUGACCUAUCAUGACAAGCUGUUCACAUCCUAAUUCCUACAAGUCAUUGUUCUGUAUCUGUUUGAACUCUCUCUGUGCUGGGGGAAUUUACUAUCUGCAAGGUGGUACAUUCCUUACUUGGAUGUGUUAAUCAGUCUUCUCUCUAGUGUAGUCGAACAUGAUUUUCUGUUACUUUUACCUUCCCUAGGUGUAAUUCAGAGCUAGUCAUCUUAGAGGCCAGAGACAGAUGGAGGUAUAAAAAGGUAAGGCAGGUGCCCCUGGGUUCAUGUAGCAAGUUCCUGAAUUAGAUGCUUUUCUGGCUCUGACUUAUUCCAAGUGACAGAGUUGACUGUGUGGGUCUCUGGGUCCCAGUGUCUUUGUCUGUUUUGUUGGGCAAUUUUCAUGUCACACCAGAUUAAUUAGAUGUUGGAGACAAGUUGAUGGGGGAAGUGAGAAGGGAAAAGAAGAGAAUGGUCUGGACUGGGUGCUGGUAGAACUGCUUUCUUUAGUUUGUCAUUGGUGUCUUGCUCUUUUCACUUGUCUUGAUGGUGGGUGUACAGAAGGCUGGGAUUAGCCGGGGGGUGGUGGCGCAUGCCUUUAACUCCAGCACUUGGGAGGCAGAGGCAGGUGGAUUUCAGAGUUUGAGGCCAGCCUGGUCUACAGAGUGAGUUCCAGGACAGCCAGAGCUACACAGAGAAACCCUGUCUCAAAAAACCAAAAAACAAAAAAAUCAGAAGGCCGGGAUUAUCUUCCCUUUUAUGCUGUUUCCCAGAAGGCUGAAUGUUCCCAAGAAGAUGAGAGACAAAGCCUAGAUUUCUACAGGGCCAUUGACUUUGUCUUACUGCAGCAUGGUGAGCUGGGACCUGUGUUUUAGUAUAUUAAUUCAUGGCUGUUUGGUAAACGCUGAAGGCUAACCUACAGGGCCUUUUCUCCACUUUUGCUGGCAUCCUCGGAACAGGUGGUCAGGGUGACACCAGAACUCACUGGAAAUACAUCUUUAUAUAUAUUUAUUGUCUUUAAUCUCUGUCAUAACCUCAUGUCUAACCAACUCAUUUGGGAACAGAGACCAAGAAAGGCAAGGAUGAAGAGAGGUAAAUGUUCAGAGUCCAGCUUAGGGAGACCCAUGUAAGGUAACAGUUCUUAAGAUAAUUCUAGGAGAAAAUAAGCCAAAGACACAGCUGAAGCCAGUGAUCUAGUGAUGUACUCUAUCUUUAUUGCCACAACUGUAGAGCUUUGUCUACACAGCAUAUAGGAGAACCAGGGCAACAAUGUGACACAGAAACCACAAGAAGUUGAAGAGGUUAAGGUUAGAAUGAGAUUACAUCCUCGAGACUGGAGUUUCUCAGAUAGGGGUGGAUCAACAGAACAUGGGGAGAGAGUGUAAGACCUAGAUGGCUUCUGCUCUCAAUCAAGUACAGGGAUCACCUGACCCACUUCUCAGGAUGCAGGAACAGGCCCAGCUCCUGCUUGGGGCUCCUUCUCUACUCAGGCUACAACAUCUUUCAAGGCAGCCCCCAACUCUGGGAAGGAAUACUGGUAGCCAGUGGCCAGUGUCCGCCGAGGGAUCACUUUCUGGCCUUCCAACAGCAUGAUGGCACGCUCUCGUCCAAAGACUGCUUGUACCACAGUGCUGGGGACAGGUAUGAAGGCUGGGCGGCCCAGGGCAGCACCCAAGGCCUGGGCAAACUCAGCAUUGGUAGUUGUAGAUGCUGGAGCCACUCCAUUCAGGACUCCUUGGACGUGGUUUUCUUCAAGGGCAUGAUUCAGAAUUCCUGCCAGGUCACCAAUGUGUAUCCAGGGGAAGAAUUGGUGACCUGAACCAAUGGGGCCUCCGAGGCCCAGGCGGAAGGGCAGAAGCAUGUGGCUGAUGGCGCCGCCCCCGCGGCCCAGCACAACCCCUAAAGCAGACAGGUGGUACAGGAAGUUGCUUAGCCUUGAAACUCUGCACUACUCUAAUUUCUCUUCUCCCUCACGGUCUUCCCAUGUGCACAUGGAGUGCACAGAGUUGAGGGCUGUGGGUCUUCUUGGGGCUUUCCCUUUGUAUGUUAGCUAAAAUGAUGGUGUCCUCUCACUGCAAGCUCAGCCCUCCUCAGCCCAGAAAUCUUCCACUUUGCCUGGGUCCUCACCUGAACGCACCACGACCUGGCGUGUAGAGUCUCCAGGAAGCCUGGCUGCUGCUUCCCACUUGGUUACCAGGUUGGAGAAAAAGUCAAAAUCCCCUCCUGGGCUGUCUUCAUCAUACUCCUCAGUCAGGCUUGGCUGAUAGUAAGCUGUCAUGGAAGAGCACUCAUUUGCUUUGGCAGCCCCUGGCCUGCUGGGGCCUUUGUAGUGAGAGGCUCCUUAGCCUCAGCAUCCUUGGCCUUUUGAGUUUCCACAGGAGAAGAAAGAACCAUAACUGUCUCCCCCUUGAGCUUCUCCAUGUAUUCAUGCCUGUCAGUGUAGCUUUUAGCCGCCAGACUGUGUCCAGAGACUGCUAGCUUGUAGUGGGUAGGGACAGAGACGGAGGUGCUAAGCUGCUUGAGCCCCACCGUUCUCGGCAUCUGUGACUUUUUGGCAAGUUACUUCUCUGUAUGAAAAAUCUGCAUCUUCAAUAUGGGAGUAACUGUACCUACCUCAUAAAGUAAUUGCAAAGAUUAAAUAAUAUGUUAUAAAAUAGUA